rnacentral:lncRNA from 1 species
UGAGUGAAAAAUAAUAUCAUGAAGAGAGUCAGGCUGAAGGAGUUCACAGUUUUCUGCUCAAUAAUGUUAAAAGGGUUGUAUAGAGGGUGAAUUAAAAGUAAAAAUACUUUCUUUUUCCUUACAAAAGAUCUUUAAUUAUACUUCAAGCAAAAUUCAAGUGAAAUAUGGAAAUUAGCAUGUAAUUUUUCCAAAUGCAUAAUUUUAAAAUCCUCUUUCUGUUUAAUGAUCUAAAUUCUCUUUCUUGAAGAGCUUUAAAGGGGCAAAGCCCAGAAGAGAAAAUGAUUUAGCUUAGUUGCAUAAAACGUUUCCAUAUCUCUGAACAUUUAUCUAAUGUCCUUGAGCAGCAUGAAGAUAAUCAAAUCCUUCUUACUAUAAACAUGGAGUUAUUUCGUUGCUACCCAGGUACUACCCUUGCUGUUUUAAAAGACAAGAGGGAAUCUUCACACUGGGUAGGAAAAAAUCAAGGCUUGCCUUUUUGUCACCAUGAACUGACAUUGUCAAAAGCAGGUUACACAGGGCCCCCAAUGGAGAAGCUAGAGCAAGCACCCAAGGAGCUGAAGGGGUUUGCAACCUUAUAGGUGGAACAACAAUAUGAACUAACCAGUACCCCCAGAGCUCGUAUCUCUAGCUGCAUAUGUAGCAGAAGAUGGCCUAGUCAGCCAUCACUGGGAAGAGAGGCCCCUUGGUAUUGCAAACUUUAUAUGCCCCAGUACAGGGGAAUGCCAGGACCAAGAAUCAGAAGUGGGUGGGUAGGGGAACAAGGCAGGAGGAGGGUAUAGGGAACUUUUGGGAUAGCAUUUGAAAUGUAUAUAAAGAAAAUAUCUAAUAAAAAAAGAUGGAACCAAAAAAAAAAAAAAAGAAAGAAAGAAAGAAAAAAAUCUAUAUGGUUUCUAUCUUUGUGAUUUCUCUCCUUGGAAGAGAUACAAAUAAGAUUCAGAUUCAUUAUUACCUGAUCCAAAGAUAUGUGGUUAGUACCAAAGACAACCUAGGAUCAGAGCUACUUUCACAAGACUUCAAGAUGUAGGUGCUUUGACCGACAGUGCCUUAUUUUAACAAAAUAAAUUGUACAUUAAAAAUUAAUUCUAAUGGCUGGAGAGAGUACAGUUGGU